UACAGAGGGGGCAAGCGUUGUUCGGAAUUACUGGGCGUAAAGGGCGCGUAGGCGGCCUGCUAAGUCGAACGUGAAAUCCCCGGGCUCAACCCGGGAACUGCGUCCGAUACUGGCAGGCUUGAAUUCGGGAGAGGGAUGUGGAAUUCCAGGUGUAGCGGUGAAAUGCGUAGAUAUCUGGAGGAACACCGGUGGCGAAGGCGGCAUCCUGGACCGAGAUUGACGCUGAUGCGCGAAAGCCAGGGGAGCAAGCGGG
rnacentral:rRNA from 1 species